rnacentral:lncRNA from 1 species
CUGCUUCUUAGGCAUAUCUGAAGAUAAAAAUCUGAUAGAGGAGUUAAAACAGAGAGAGCGAGCUAAGGUAAGGUAAGGAGAAGAUGAUCGGAGAGAAAGAUGAAUGUUUAAAGCGAAGAGAGUUGUGUGUGGAAUUAACGACAUCAACACGUGGCUUAACAAGGUGCGAACCACGUAAUAACAACGAGAGAUGGCGGCGACCAAGUUAGUUCGACGUGCUUGCUGAGUCACCAACAAGCUGUGAAACCGGCGGGACGACGACGGAGUUAGUGGAAGUGUUAUGGUGCGAGAAAGACCACUGUAACAAACAAAAAAUCUACAACAAAAUUUACGAAAACACCCAGUGGCUUAGGAGGCCUAUAUCUAGGGGCUAGGGCUGUUAAUCUGGGCUAUUUUACCCAGCCCAAUUCCAGACUAUCAGAAACUUGUCCACCAAAAACUCAGCCCACACAAAAACCCAUUGGCAAACUUGGCUAUUCUCGACCAAAUUUA